UACGUAGGGUGCAAGCGUUGUCCGGAAUUAUUGGGCGUAAAGAGCUCGUAGGCGGUUUGUCGCGUCGGCUGUGAAAACCUGAGGCUCAACCUCGGGCCUGCAGUCGAUACGGGCAAACUAGAGUUCGGUAGGGGAGACGUGGAAUUCCUGGUGUAGCGGUGGAAUGCGCAGAUAUCAGGAGGAACACCGGUGGCGAAGGCGGGUCUCUGGGCCGAAACUGACGCUGAGGAGCGAAAGCGUGGGGAGCGAACAGG
rnacentral:rRNA from 1 species